UACCCUGUAGAACCGAAUUUGUGUUCAGUACAUAUCAUCGCAAAUACGUCUCUACAGGAA
ensembl:miRNA gmo-mir-10a-2 gmo-mir-10a-2